AUCCGUUGAACUUGCUUGGUGGUGAGAUGGCGACGGGUGAUUAUGCGUGACGAGCGCCCCAUACCCGGAAUAGCUCCUGGAAACGGGUGGUAAUGCCGGAUGCUCCAGUUGAUCGCAUGGUCUUCUGGGAAAGCUUUCGCGGUAUGGGAUGGGGUCGCGUCCUAUCAGCUUGACGGCGGGGUAACGGCCCACCGUGGCUUCGACGGGUAGCCGGCCUGAGAGGGCGACCGGCCACAUUGGGACUGAGAUACGGCCCAGACUCCUACGGGAGGCAGCAGUGGGGAAUAUUGCACAAUGGGCGCAAGCCUGAUGCAGCGACGCCGCGUGAGGGAUGGAGGCCUUCGGGUUGUAAACCUCUUUUAUCGGGGAGCAAGCGAGAGUGAGUUUACCCGUUGAAUAAGCACCGGCUAACUACGUGCCAGCAGCCGCGGUAAUACGUAGGGUGCAAGCGUUAUCCGGACUUAUUGGGCGUAAAGGGCUCGUAGGCGGUUCGUCGCGUCCGGUGUGAAAGUCCAUCGCUUAACGGUGGAUCCGCGCCGGGUACGGGCGGGCUGGAGUGCGGUAGGGGAGACUGGAAUUCCCGGUGUAACGGUGGAAUGUGUAGAUCUCGGGAAGAACACCAAUGGCGAAGGCAGGUCUCUGGGCCGUUACUGACGCUGAGGAGCGAAAGCGUGGGGAGCGAACAGGAUUAGAUACCCUGGUAGUCCACGCCGUAUACGGUGGAUGCUGGAUGUGGGGGCCGUUCCCACGGGUCCCGUGUCGGAGCUACCGCGUUAGGCUCCCGCCUGGGGGAGUCGGCCGGAAGGCUAGACUCCGUGACUUGACGGGGCCCGACAAGCGGCGAGCUGCGGUUAUUCAUCUCGGGAUGACCUUACCUGGGCUGCAUGUCC
rnacentral:rRNA from 1 species